rnacentral:misc_RNA from 1 species
AAGUCGUAAUAAGGUUUCUGUAGGUAAACCUGCAAAAGGAUUAUUACCUUUCUAGCUAUUUAAUAGCUUGUCUAGGGGCUGCAGUUUCUGUAGUUUCUAACUACAUCUGUGUUUUUUGCGUACUAUAUGUUUUCUUAGCGGGCUUGCUUGCUAGUUAGAUAAACUAAAACUCUUUGCAAUCGCAAUCAGCGUCUGAAUUAUAUAAUAAUUACAA